AGAGUUUGAUCCUGGCUCAGGACGAACGCUGGCGGCGUGCCUAAUACAUGCAAGUCGAACGCAUUUUCUUUCACCGUAGCUUGCUACACCGAAAGAAAAUGAGUGGCGAACGGGUGAGUAACACGUGGGUAACCUGCCCAUCAGCGGGGGAUAACACUUGGAAACAGGUGCUAAUACCGCAUAAUUCCAUUUACCGCAUGGUAGAGGGAUGAAAGGCGCUUUUGCGUCACUGAUGGAUGGACCCGCGGUGCAUUAGCUAGUUGGUGGGGUAACGGCCUACCAAGGCUGCGAUGCAUAGCCGACCUGAGAGGGUGAUCGGCCACACUGGGACUGAGACACGGCCCAGACUCCUACGGGAGGCAGCAGUAGGGAAUCUUCGGCAAUGGACGCAAGUCUGACCGAGCAACGCCGCGUGAGUGAAGAAGGUUUUCGGAUCGUAAAACUCUGUUGUUAGAGAAGAACAAGGAUGAGAGUGGAAAGUUCAUCCCUUGACGGUAUCUAACCAGA
rnacentral:rRNA from 1 species